UGAGCUGAGAUAAGAUGCCAUUAUCUAAAAA
rnacentral:piRNA from 1 species